AGUGAACGCUGGCGGUAGGCCUAACACAUGCAAGUCGAACGGCAGCACAGUAAGCUCUCGCCUUUACGGUUGGCGACUGGCGGACGGGUGAGGCAUACAUCGGAAUCUACUUUUUCGUGGGUGAUAACGUAGGGACACUUACGCUAAUACCGCAUAUGAUCUACGGGUGAAAGCAGUGGAUCUUCGGACUUUUCGUGAUUGUAUUAGCCGAUGUCGGAUUAGCUAGUUGGCGUGGUAAAGGCCCACCAAGGCGACGAUCCGUAGCUGGUCUGAGAGGAUGAUCGGCCACACUGGAACUGAGACACGGUCCAGACUCCUACGGGAGGCAGCAGUGGGGAAUAUUGGGCAAUGGGCGAAAGCCUGAUCCAGCAAUAUCGCGUGAGUGAAGAAGGCCUUCGGAUCGUAAAGCCCUUUUGUUGGGAAAGAAAAGCAGCAGGUUAAUACACGGCUGUUCUGACGGUACCCAAAGAAUAAGCAACGGCUAACUACGUG
rnacentral:rRNA from 1 species